CAAAGUACCAACUAGAACCAAAAUGCAAUAAAAAAGGUCUCUUAUUUAUGUUUUGAUUGGUCAAGAUGUCCAAGAGAAAAGUCGUUUACAGACGGAAAAAAAAUACACAUAACAGUAAAACCAGUAGAUCCCUCGUUACGCUCGGAUUUCGAACGUAAGUUUAAACAUCUUAUAUUUCCGUUAUGUUCGCCCGUCCGUAUAGUUACCGUAUACUUAAUGCAUGGUUACGGUUGUCGAUUUAGUUAAUAAGGAGUCGCAUA